rnacentral:rRNA from 1 species
GAAGGCGUAGCAAUACGCUUGUACAGUGGCGAACGGGUGAGGAACACGUGGGUAACCUACCCUCCAGUGGGGAAUAACUCGCCGAAAGGAGGGCUAAUACCGCGUACGCUUCCCGGUCUGCGGGCCGGGAAGGAAAGCCAUGCCGUGGGUAUGGCGCUCAAGGAUGGGCUCACGUCCUAUCACCUUGUUGGUAGGGUAACGGCCUACCAAGGCAACGACGGGUAGCUGGUCUGAGAGGACGAUCAGCCACACUGGCACUGCGACACGGGCCAGACUCCUACGGGAGGCAGCAGUGAGGAAUAUUGCGCAAUGGGCGAAAGCCUGACGCAUCGACGCCGCGUGGGGGAUGAAGGUCUUCGGAUUGUAAACCCCUUUCCGCAGGGAAGAUGGGACGGGAAACCGUUCGGACGGUACCUCCAGAAGCAGCCACGGCUAACUUCGUGCCAGCAGCCGCGGUAAUACGAAGGUGGCAAGCGUUGUUCGGAUUUACUGGGCGUACAGGGUGCGUAGGCGGUCCGGUAAUCCCUUCGGGAAAGCUCCGCGUUUAACCCGGAAAGGUCGGAGGGGACUGCCGAGCUAGAGGACGGGAGAGGAGCGCGGAAUUCCCGGUGUAGCGGUGAAAUGCGUAGAGAUCGGGAGGAAGGCCGGUGGCGAAGGCGGCGCUCUGGAACGUUUCUGA